rnacentral:rRNA from 1 species
UGGGGAAUAUUGCACAAUGGCGGGAACUCUGAUGCAGCGACGCCGCGUGAGUGAUGAAGGAAUUCGUUUCGUAAAACUCUGUUCUAUGGGAAGAAAAGGCCUGUACCAUAGGAGAAAGCUCCGGCUAAAUACGUGCCAGCAGCCGCGGUAAUACGUAUGGAGCGAGCGUUGUCCGGAAUUAUUGGGCGUAAAGGGUGCGCAGGCGGCUUUACAAGUUGGAUGUGAAAUAUUGUGGCUCAACCACAAACGUGCAUCCAAAACUGCAAAGCUUGAGUUAAGGAGAGGUAAGUGGAAUUCCUGGUGUAGCGGUGGAAUGCGUAGAUAUCAGGAGGAAUACCGGUGGCGAAGGCGACUUACUGGACUUAAACUGACGCUCAGGCACGAAAGCGUGGGGAGCAAACAGG